UACGUAGGGUGGGAGCGUUAAUCGGAAUUACUGGGCGUAAAGCGUGCGCAGGCGGUUUUGUAAGCCAGAUGUGAAAUCCCCGGGCUUAACCUGGGAACUGCAUUUGGGACUGCAAGGCUUGAGUACGGCAGAGGGGGGUAGAAUUCCUGGUGUAGCAGUGAAAUGCGUAGAUAUCAGGAGGAAUACCGAUGGCGAAGGCAGCCCCCUGGGUCGAUACUGACGCUCAUGCACGAAAGCGUGGGGAGCAAACAGG
rnacentral:rRNA from 1 species